GAGCAGAGAGAAGAUAAAGCCAAGGAGGCAGUGGACCCUCCAGGGUGAGGAGGGAGGGAGGCAGUGUGUGUCGGGCUCCAGUGUAGACUGGGCCUUGACCAAAACAGGUAAGCAGAGGCUCAGGAGCAAAGGGUGGGAGUGGGGCGGAGGGCAAAGCGAAGAAUUGUGUUGACUUCAACUGGACUAAGAAUUAAGAGAGAUAAGGGGCCUGUGUCGGGGAGUGGAAGGCAAGUGUGGGUGGGACGUGAAGGAGUAACCAGCACUCAGUGGAGCCCUGGGGACAUUAGAUUUGGAGGCAUGCUUCUGCUGAAAUUGCUGAAAUUGCUGAAAUUGCAGGGGGCAGCGGCACACACUGGACACGAAGACACUUUUAUCAAUGGGGUUCCGGGAGCUGCUCCUCCCAGACCUCUAGGUGUCCACUGUUAGUCACCAGCACAAGGUACUGGGGACAAUCCUAUAGUUCCAUCAGAUGGCCAGGUCCACAUUGUGCAUCUUCCCUGCAUGAGGUAGGGAAGAUGAAGGUCUGAGGGACAGCAAGCCAAGGUCACAGACUUCCAGGAGCCCUCAGCAUGGCCCCACGUCUACGCCGCCAUCCACCCCUCCACAGUCCUUUCUCAUCAGUGCAUAGCUGCUCUGUGCAGCAACACGCACAGGAGCUAAAGCCUCCCAACAAACCUCAGCCCAGAAGAAAAUGGAGACCACUGCAGUUCACCAGCUCAUGUGCAUCGCUGCCAGGUGCCAAACCCAGAUGCACAUGCACAGCGGGCUCCAGCAUUGUCCCCAGCCACCCUGGCUCUCAUUCUCCAACUCCUGACGGAGUCUCACUCUGUCGCCCAGGCUGGAGUGCAGUGGGAAACUCCAUCUCAAAAAAAAAAGUUCUCUUCAUGAGCCCACAGACCAAUGUGAUCUAGCCCCUGCCUGUCUCUGGCCUGCUCUCCAACCUCCUCAGCCAGGUGCUGCCUCAGGACAUUGGCACUUGCUGUCCUUACAAACGGGCUCACUUCCCCCAGAUCCCUGCUCAGUUUAUGCCUCUCCUGCAUGAGGCCCUAGGGAAAAGUCCAUCCACCUUGGUCUUACAGUCAUCGGGUAUGAAAAACUCACCUCUAAGAGGGCAUAAACUCUAGUCCAUCUGUCCAUCCGGUUCAGAGGGAUCCCCCUGCCUAGAACACAGCUAAGGAUUUGCUGAAUGAAUGAAUGAUACUCCUGAUGGGCCCUGGCACACAGACCACCUACUGGCCCAUUCCAGGUUUUUCAUGCUCUGACCAGAACACUGCAGUAUCAACUCUACCCACGUCCCCGCCCUCCCACCCCAUCCCCACAACCUAGUUACUUCGUUUGGCUCUUGACAGGGGUGCCAGACCCAUGCCUUGGUCUCCUCUCCCCUCUUCCAUCCCUCCCACCCAUCCCCACUCAGCUAAACAUUGGUCCCCAAAUGCAACACUGAGGU
rnacentral:lncRNA from 1 species